rnacentral:rRNA from 1 species
CGUGUAGGCGGUCCGUUAAGUCUGAUGUGAAAGCCCGGGGCUCACCCCCGGAAGGGCAUUGGAAACUGGCGGACUCGAGUCCCGGAGAGGAGAGUGGAAUUCCUGGUGUAGCGGUGAAAUGCGUAGAUAUCUGGAGGAACACCGGUGGCGAAGGCGGCAUCCUGGACCGACACUGACGCUGAGGCGCGAAAGCCAGGGGAGCAAACG